rnacentral:rRNA from 2 species
UACUUGACUUGGUGGCGACCGGCGCACGGGUGCGUAACGCGUAUGCAACCUACCUUAUGCUGAGGGAUAGCCCAGAGAAAUUUGGAUUAAUACCUCAUAGUAUCAUUUUGAAGGCAUCUGAGAAUGAUUGAAGAUUUAUCGGGUAUAAGAUGGGCAUGCGUAAGAUUAGUUAGUUGGUGAGGUAACGGCUCACCAAGACUUCGAUCUUUAGGGGUUCUGAGAGGAUGAUCCCCCACACUGGUACUGAGAUACGGACCAGACUUC